rnacentral:lncRNA from 1 species
GGAGCCCGACUCCCGUAGGAGUCCGGGCGGAGUCAACUUGAGGUCGGAGUUGUCGGCAGAGUCCGGCUCCUGUAGGAGUCCGGACGAAGUCUGUCUUGCAGCCGUUGGAGUCGAGGACGAAGCCCAGCUCCCGUAGGAGUCCGGGCGGAGUCUUCCUGCAAUCAAAGUUAAAGGCGAAGUCCGGCUCCCGUAGGAGUCCGGACGGGGCUUACCAGCAGUUGAUGUUGAGGAC